UACGUAGGGACCGAGCGUUGUCCGGAAUCAUUGGGCGUAAAGAGCGUGUAGGCGGCCAACUAAGUCCUGCGUGAAAUCUCGGGGCUCAACCCCGAGCGGUCGUGGGAAACUGGUUGGCUAGAGUGCGGGAGAGGAGAGUGGAAUUCCUGGUGUAGCGGUGAAAUGCGCAGAUAUCAGGAGGAACACCCGUGGCGAAAGCGGCUCUCUGGGACGGUACUGACGCUGAGACGCGAAAGCGUGGGGAGCGAACAGG
rnacentral:rRNA from 1 species